rnacentral:tRNA from 1 species
UAAGGACUGCAGGAGCUCACCCCACAUCAAUUGAAUGCAAAUCAAUCACUUUAAUUAAGCUAAGUCCUU